UCUGCUGCAGACAAUGCUGUAGGAGAGAGGCUGGCGCCUGCAGGGCCUAAAUCUAAACAGAGGCCGAAGGCACUGGCAGUGGGGAACCAGCUGGCCCCCAUCCUGUCCCUCAGGAGCCACCCCGUCCUCAGCCCAGGCCUCCAGCUGGGAAACAACUCUGUCUCCUCCACUGGUGGCUCUGUGCUAGACCCGAUGCUCGCCUGGAACUCAGAUGUGAUGCCUGGAAGUAGCAUAGCCAUGAAGACAAACGCUUCAAGCGGAGGAUGGCAGAGGAGGAAGACAGCAGGAGCCUUGCUUCUAAACAACUCCCUCGAAUAGCUCUAACCAACAUGGACUACCUCUCUCCAGAUUCCUUAUUAUGUGAGAAAAAUAUCCCUUAUUUGAAGGAGCCAAAU